rnacentral:rRNA from 1 species
UACGUAGGGCGCAAGCGUUGUCCGGAAUUAUUGGGCGUAAAGAGCUCGUAGGCGGUUUGUCGCGUCUGUCGUGAAAGCUUGGGGCUUAACCCCAAGUCUGCGGUGGAUACGGGCAGACUAGAGGCAGGUAGGGGAGAACGGAAUUCCCGGUGUAGCGGUGAAAUGCGCAGAUAUCAGGAGGAACACCGAUGGCGAAGGCAGAUCUCUGGGCCGUAACUGACGCUGAGGAGCGAAAGCAUGGGGAGCGAACAGG